UGGGGAAUAUUGCACAAUGGGCGCAAGCCUGAUGCAGCCAUGCCGCGUGUAUGAAGAAGGCCUUCGGGUUGUAAAGUACUUUCAGUCGGGAGGAAGGUGGUAAGGUUAAUAACCUUGGCAAUUGACGUUACCGACAGAAGAAGCACCGGCUAACUCCGUGCCAGCAGCCGCGGUCAUACGGAGGGUGCAAGCGUUAAUCGGAAUUACUGGGCGUAAAGCGCACGCAGGCGGUUGAUUGAGUCAGAUGUGAAAUCCCCGGGCUUAACCCGGGAAUUGCAUCUGAUACUGGUCAGCUAGAGUCUUGUAGAGGGGGGUAGAAUUCCAUGUGUAGCGGUGAAAUGCGUAGAGAUGUGGAGGAAUACCGGUGGCGAAGGCGGCCCCCUGGACAAAGACUGACGCUCAGGUGCGAAAGCGUGGGGAGCAAACAGG
rnacentral:rRNA from 1 species